rnacentral:rRNA from 1 species
GCCAGCAGCCAUGUCACCCUGCAAUUGGCAGCCCACUGGAGCUCAGCAGGUGUGAGCCUGGUCAGUACCUGGAUGAGAGACCUCCUGGGAAAAACUAAGGUUGCUGCUGGAA